GCUUGCUUGGCAGAACAUUUUCUGAAACUGAAACAAUACGGAGAAGAUUAGUACGAGCCCUGUAUGAUGAUAACACACAAACCCAUGGAGUGUCUCAUAAUAAA